rnacentral:rRNA from 1 species
ACGGGAGGCAGCAGUGAGGAAUAUUGGUCAAUGGGCGAGAGCCUGAACCAGCCAAGUAGCGUGCAGGAUGACGGCCCUAUGGGUUGUAAACUGCUUUUUUGAGGGCAUAAAGUGAGCCACGUGUGGCUUUUUGCAUGUACCUUAUGAAUAAGGACCGGCUAAUUCCGUGCCAGCAGCCGCGGUAAUACGGAAGGUCCGGGCGUUAUCCGGAUUUAUUGGGUUUAAAGGGAGCGUAGGCGGCCUUUUAAGCGUGUUGUGAAAUGCACCGGCUCAACCGUGGCACUGCAGCGCGAACUGGAGGGCUUGAGUGCGGAGGAAGUAGGCGGAAUUCGUCGUGUAGCGGUGAAAUGCUUAGAUAUGACGAAGAACUCCGAUUGCGAAGGCAGCUUACUGUAGCGUAACUGACGCUGAAGCUCGAAAGUGCGGGUAUCGAACAGGAUUAGAUACCCUGGUA